UUAAACCUACCGAGCAAUGUAUAGGGAGGAGCACCUCGUCCUAGGAUCCAAUCACUUUUAACUCAGAAAACCUAAAACAUGAAUUUAAAAAAAAACGUGAGUACAAACUCAAUGAGUGAACAUAGAAAGGGACUAAGCAACGUUAAGGAAGGUUUAAAAAUCAUGAUACACAUCUUUGAAAACAAUGGAAUUUAGUUUACCUCUUACCAAAACCCCUCAUUUAAACCCCAAAUGAGUAAAUCACUUGAUAAAAAGGGUCCAUGCUCAACAAAGGAUUUGAAGAGUGAAAACUUUAAUAGCAUUUGUGCAAUUCAAGUCAAGUAAACGAUGGGUCCUCGCUGCAGCAGAAAGGUAUUCUCGCUGCAGCGAGAUUCCUACUAGCAUUACCCCUCCAAAUCCGAGAGUUUCUCACUGUAGUGAGAAUGAAUCUCGCAGCAGCGAGAAACAGAGCACCAUGAAAAAGUUUCUUUUCUUUCAAGAAAAAGCCAUCUUGCUAAAAUGACAAAAAAAUCAACAUGAAACACAUAAUAAUUCCCAAAGUUCAACAUGCAAGAUUCACAUGUGCAACACCAUAUACCAUACUCAUGAACUUUCGAUAACACACAUAUCUAUAUAUGUAUAUAUAUUUAUGUAUAUAUGUAUAUGUAUAUGUAUAUAUGUAUAUGUAUAUGUAUAUAUGUAUAUGUAUAUGUAUAUAUAUAUGUAUAUAUAUAUAUAUAUAUAUAUAUAUAUCCAUCACCAUACACACCCUCCCAUCAUUGUCAUAUACACUCCCACUAGCACAUGGCUGGGUCAGCAUCAGCUUAUGCGCACUCCGACUUGCACAUAACCGGGUCAGCAUCAGCUUAUGCGCACUCCCCCUCACACAUAGUCGGGUCAGAAUCGGCUUAUACGCACUCCCCCCCGCACAUAACCGGGUCAGUAUUAGCUUAUGCACACUCCUACUCGCACAUAGCCGGGUCAAUAUCAUUACACAAUAUUAUUCAUAUACACACACACACACAUAUGUAUAUAUAUCAACAUCGUAUAUGAGCACAUAAGUUCGUCCUAUUACACAUUUCACAUUUUCACAACGUUUAAAAUAUUUUAUCAAAGGCUUGUUCCCAAGGCACACGUUUUUAAAGACAAGUUGGAAUAAAUCAUUCAAUGUUUCAUAGCAAUACAAUUAUGUCUCCCAAAACGAUUUUGAAAUGCAAGUUCAGUCACCUUACGAUAGAGGGAUAUUACAUCGCUAUUUGAUCGAAAGUGUCUUUAAUUAGUUUCACUGGCCGGUCGCUCGAUGUUUACUCUAGCACGCCACCACAAUACUCUAACCUUAUCUUUGCACUUCUUAACAAUAAUACGAACUCAAUAUAUUUAAUUAUAUACGUAUACGGGCAGCACUUUAAUCAAUUAAUCCUUACUCAAAUUUAUAUUUUUCAUCCUAUCAUGAAACCAUCUUCAAUUAACUCACAUCUUAAUACACUUUUUGCUAACAUUACUUAUAUCCAUUGCUUACGAAAUUCCUUAAAUUAUAUCACCGGUAACUUAAUUAUGAUGUCACGGGUCUACUUCAACCUUUCUAAAUAAUUUCCACUCAAAUCCAUCUCCACACAUAAUCCACAUAUAUGGCAACAACAAUCAUUCUCACUUUCACUCGAUUAUUUCCUACUUACACGCAUCGUUAUCUGUCUAACUUUCAAUACUUUGUUUCUCAAUCCUCCAUCCACAAUAUUCCUUUUUCAUUUCUUUCAAACAACAUGCGAUACAAUCUUAAUAAUUUUCAACUAGCUUAGGCAAAUAGAUCCUUUCAACAACCGUAAUUCCUCACAAUAUUCAACUAACCGAAGGCUUUAAAACAUAGUGUUAAGCUUAUCGUUUUCCUUUUCCACUUUGAGUCCUUCAUGUACCCAUGGGUUUAUUGGCUUACAUGUUACCAAUUUUUCUCCAAUCAAGCCAAUCUUUGCUGCCACAAAACAUUUCUCUAAGUCAUUAACUCAAUUUCAAAGACUACUCAAGCCAAAAACAAGAAUUCUUACCGUUACUUGCUUAAUCACCAAAACCAAGCUUUUUCUUCCUUUCUCUCUUUUUCUUUCUUCUCCUCCUAGGGUUUAUAUGUGCUGAAAAUUGGGGUUAAAGGCUGUAAAUUUAGUGCUCAAGAAGUUUGGAGAAGAAAGGAAAAGAAAACAUGGAAAGGAAAGUGAAGAAAACUUGAUUUCAUGGUGGAUAAAGAGAAAAUGGCAUGGAAGCUUCAAGAAUGGCGUGGAGCAUGGAGGAGAAGAGGAAAAAUGUUGCUGGAGGAGAUAAGAACAGUUUUGGGCUGAAAAAAAUCAGAGUCAAAGCUUCCUUUGGAAGCUUUGACCAAACUUCACGUAAAAUUAUCAUUUUGCCCUUUUUGUUUCUUUCCAUUUUAAUUUAGUCCUCCCAACACUCAUUUAACUCCAACUUCCUUCUAUUAUCU
rnacentral:lncRNA from 1 species